rnacentral:rRNA from 1 species
AGCUCCAAUAGCUAUAUUAAAGUUGUUGCGGUUAAAAAGCUCGUAGUUGGAUUUCUGUCGAGAAGAACCAGUCCGCAUUUUGUGCGUGUAUUUGGUUUCGUCUUGGCAUCCUUUCAAGGAACGUUUCUGUGAUUCAGUUCAUGGAGCGGCACUUUGAAACUUUUACUUUGAGGAAAUUAGAGUGUUCACGGCAGGCAAUCGCCUUGAAUAUAUUAGCAUGGAAUAAUAAUAUAGGACCUUGGGUCUAUUUUGUUGGUUUCUAGAGCUAA